rnacentral:misc_RNA from 1 species
GAUGAAGAACGUAGCGAAAUGCGAUAAGUAAUGUGAAUUGCAGAAUUCAGUGAAUCAUCGAAUCUUUGAACGCACAUUGCGCCCGCCAGUAUUCUGGCGGGCAUGCCUGUUCGAGCGUCAUUUCAACCAUCAAGCCCCAGGCUUGUGUUGGGGACCUGCGGCUGCCGCAGGCCCUGAAAACCAGUGGCGGGCUCGCUGUCACACCGGGCGUAGUAGAUUUUAUCUCGCUCAGGGCGUGCUGCGGGUUCCGGCCGUUAAAAAGCCUUUUUUACCCAAGGUUGACCACGGAUCAGGUAGGAAGACCCGCUGAACUUAAGCAUAUCAAUAAGCGGAGGA